CAAUAGCGUAUAUUAAAGUUGUUGCAGUUAAAAAGCUCGUAGUUGAAUUUUGGGCCCGGAUGGGCGGUCCGCUUCACGGCGUGUACUGUCCGGCUGGGCCUUUCCUCUUGGUGAUCUGUCGUACUUGUGCGGCAGUGGAACCAGGACCUUUACUUUGAAGAAAUUAGAGUGUUCAAAGCAGGCUAGACGCCCGAAUAUAUUAGCAUGGAAUAAUAAAAUAGGACGUGCGGUUCUAUUUUGUUGGUUUUUGGAAUCGCCGUAAUGAUUAAUAGGGACGGUCGGGGGCAUUAGUACUCACAUGCUGGAGGUGAAAUUCUUGGAUUUUGUGAAGACUAACUUCUGCGAAAGCAUUUGCCAAGGACGUUUUCAUUAA
rnacentral:rRNA from 1 species